ACGGGUAUUCUUGGGUAUAUAAUACGGAUGGCGUUGUUAUUGCUUGAGAAUACGCGUAG
rnacentral:pre_miRNA from 1 species